UUUUGGACAAUGGGGGAAACCCUGAUCCAGUCAUCCCGCGUGUGCGAUGAAGGCCUUCGGGUUGUAAAGCACUUUUGGCAGGGAAGAAAAGCCACGGGAUAAUACCCCGUGGUGCUGACGGUACCUGCAGAAUAAGCACCGACUAACUACGUGCCAGCAGCCGCGGUAAUACGUAGGGUGCAAGCGUUAAUCGGAAUUACUGGGCGUAAAGCGUGCGCAGGCGGUUUGGAAAGAAGGAUGUGAAAUCCCGGGGCUUAACCUCGGAACUGCAUUCUUAACUUCCAGGCAAGAGUAUGUCAGAGGGGGGUAGAAUUCCACGUGUAGCAGUGAAAUGCGUAGAGAUGUGGAGGAAUACCGAUGGCGAAGGCAGCCCCCUGGGAUAAUACUGACGCUCAUGCACGAAAGCGUGGGGAGCAAACAG
rnacentral:rRNA from 1 species